rnacentral:tRNA from 1 species
GGAGCGUUACGGACUGGCACGCGACGUACGGCCUGACCUGGCCUUUCGCCCAAGACCGCUGGUCACGGAACCGCUUCUCUCAGCUUCCCAAGCUGAAUACGGGAGUUCGAUUCUCCUCACCCGCUCUCCCA